GCCUGGGUGGCUCAGUAAAGCGUCUGACUUCAGCUCAGGUCAUGAUCUCGCAGUUUGUGAGUUUGAGCCUCGCAUCAGGCU
rnacentral:tRNA from 1 species